UAUAAGGUGAAACCGGCCCGGUGUUAAACCCAACCCCGGGAUUAUCGGGACCCCCCGGGAAAUGGGUCCCCUAAGGGGCGUUUAACGCGUUUUUCUCCCACUUAUGGGGCAUUAAGAAACCGGGUAACCAAUACGUUUUAAAAAAAAGGAACCUCGGCCACCGGGAACAGCUUCAAACGGAAACAAGUCCGGGAAAGAAGGGAAAAAAAGGGAAACCGAAAUCCUAGAUCCAACAAGCAAUCUUCGGACAGGCCUACCUAAUCAAACUGGGACAAACAGAUAAACCCUGUAGCCACGCCCUAACGAUGAAUGUUAUCGUGGAGUGCUACCCACUUCAGUGAAGCAGCUAACGCAUUAAACAUUCCGCCUGGGGAGUACGGCCGCAAGGUUAAAACUCAAAGGAAUAGACGGGGACCCGCACAAGUGGUGGAGCAUGUGGUUUAAUUCGAAGAUACGCGAAGAACCUUACCUGGCCUUGACAUAUACCAGAAUCUACCAGAGAUGGUGGAGUGCCUUCGGGAGCUGGUAUACAGGUGCUGCACGGCUGUCGUCAGCUCGUGUCGUGAGAUGUUGGGUUAAGUCCCGCAACGAGCGCAACCCUCGUGACUAGUUACUAACAGCAUAGGCUGAGGACUCUAGUCAGACUGCCUUCGUAAGGAGGAGGAAGGUGAGGACGACGUCAAGUCAUCAUGCCCUUACGGCCAGGGCGACACACGUGCUACAAUGGGAAGGACAAAGAGAAGCAAAACUGUGAGGUGGAGCAAAUCUAUAAACCUUCUCUCAGUUCGGAUUGCAGUCUGCAACUCGACUGCAUGAAGCUGGAAUCACUAGUAAUCGUGAAUCAGCCAUGUCACGGUGAAUACGUUCCCGGGUCUUGUACUCACCGCCCGUCACACCAUGGGAGUUGAUUUCACCCGAAGCGGGAUGCUAAAUAGGCUACCCGCCACGGUGGAAUUAGCGACUGGGUUUCACCUA
rnacentral:rRNA from 1 species